GACAGAGGGUGCAACCGUUGUUCGGAAUUACUGGGCGUAAAGCGCGUGUAGGCGGCUAAGUAAGUCGGGCGUGAAAUCCCACGGCUCAACCGUGGAAGUGCACUCGAAACUGCAUAGCUAGAGUCCUGGAGAGGAAGGUGGAAUGCUCGGUGUAGAGGUGAAAUUCGUAGAUAUCAAGCGGAACACCGGUGGCGAAGGCGGCCUUCUGGACAGUGACUGACGCUGAGACGCGAAAGCGUGGGGAGCAAACAGG
rnacentral:rRNA from 1 species